AGUGAAAACAAGCAGAAUUAAAUUCAAUUUCUAUUUAAAUUAAUUAAUUCUAAGAUUAUAUGGGAAUGGUGAGAAUGUUUAGUCUAGGUCUGGACACUUGUGGAAAAUAUUAUUGUUAUAUUUCAUUUACUUGGCAAGAAUUAUGCUAGUUACAUAACGAAUUCACGCUGUGUCAGCACAAUUACCGAGAACCACCCACAGUGAAUUUUCAUUGUUUGUCCGCUGACUGUAAUAAGGAUUUUGAGCUUCCUCUCAGUCUCAGUCUUUCUCUAGCUUUUAUUUGUGUAAUAUUUUCAGUAGACGGCAGCUCUGCAGCUUGUUAUGCUGCGAGUGAAAGCACACGCCUGCCCACAGUUGCUGUUUAUGCGCCGUACAUGACAAUGAGUUCAGGAUUCUUUCCAAAGUACGCGCUGCCCGUACUCGUCACGUCUAGAGGCUUUGGCUGAGCAGACGGAUACACCCAGCCCUCAACUUACUGAGGUGCAUAUUAAGUGCUGCCAUCAUAUAGUUAUAUCAAAAGUGACUUUGGCACGUGUGCCAUUCGUCCGGCUGCCUGUCCACUUGACAUCAACAUCCCUUGCCAGCUAUUUGAUGAGCAGCCGAUUCGAAGUGUGCCAAAAUGGGAAAACUAGCAAACGAUGUAAUAACAAUUCCUGAAACGUUGUUGUUGAUGCUGCGAUGUGGAUCUUCGCGCGGUUUAAUCAAUCAGCAAAACGAUGCACGUGUUUCUCUUUGACCAACCGCACGCGUUGCAAAGUCUGUUUAAUUUAUGAUCUGGGUCAGCGACAAAUAUAUGGAAAUCGUGGUUUAACCAGGGACUACUGAUGGAGAAUUCAUAAAUUCUUUGCAUAGGUUAUGAUAUUUUAUGAGCAGCACCGUGUGACAGAGCUGUCAGUAGCUGCUGCCCGACCACCACCACGAUGACAGUUAUCUAUGCGUACCAAGUGUAUUGGAAGAGCAGGCAUGGCAGGCAGGCAGGCAGGUAUUGUUGGAUAUUUUUUGCUCUAUCAAUAAGCUUCGUCCAGGGUCACAGUUGGCUUGAACGUAUUUCAGAGUGCGUCACGUUUCAAAUUUAUUACGCAAAAUAUUCUUCAAUUUAGCGCGCCUUCCUUGUCUACGCUCGUAAACACCUCACCGCGACAGUGCUGACAUUAGGCAAGCACCACAUGCUGACAACAAAUUUCAGUUUAAGUUAAGGCCAAGUUCAGAGCAAAAAAGAAACCAAAGACUACAGAUGACUUUCUA